rnacentral:rRNA from 1 species
GGUGGAGAUCUGGAGGAAUACCGAUGGGAAGGCAGCCCUCUGGCCCUAAAAUGACACUGAGGUGCGAAAGCAUGGGGAGCAAACCGGAUUAGAUACCCUGGUAGUCCAUGCCGUAAACGAUGUUUACUAGCCGUUGGGGGAUUUGAUCCUUUAGUGGCGCAGCUAACGCGAUAAGUAGACCGCCUGGGGAGUACGGUCGCAAGACUAAAACUCAAAUGAAUUGACGGGGGCCCGCACAAGCGGUGGAGCAUGUGGUUUAAUUCGAUGCAACGCGAAGAACCUUACCUGGCCUUGACAUAGUAGAAACUUUCCAGAGAUGGAAAGGUGCCUUCGGGAAUCUACAUACAGGUGCUGCAUGGCUGUCGUCAGCUCGUGUCGUGAGAUGUUGGGUUAAGUCCCGCAACGAGCGCAACCCUUUUCCUUACUUGCCAGCAUUUCGGAUGGGAACUUUAAGGAUACUGCCAGUGACAAACUGGAGGAAGGCGGGGACGACGUCAAGUCAUCAUGGCCCUUACGGCCAGGGCUACACACGUGCUACAAUGGUCGGUACAAAGGGUUGCUACACAGCGAUGUGAUGCUAAUCUCAAAAAGCCGAUCGUAGUCCGGAUCGCAGUCUGCAACUCGACUGCGUGAAGUCGGAAUCGCUAGUAAUCGCGGAUCAGAAUGCCGCGGUGAAUACGUUCCCGGGCCUUGUACACACCGCCCGUCACACCAUGGGAGUGUUGUUGCACCCAGAAGUAGGUAGUCUAA